rnacentral:rRNA from 1 species
AUGAACGCUAGCGACAGGCCUAACACAUGCAAGUCGAGGGGCAGCACAAGGAGCAAUCUGAGGUGGCGACCGGCGCACGGGUGAGUAACACGUAUGCAACCUGCCUGUAAGCGGGGAAUAACCCGUUGAAAGACGGACUAAUACCGCAUAAUACUAAAUUACUGCAUGGUAAUUUAUUUAAACAUUUAUGGCUUACAGAUGGGCAUGCGCAUGAUUAGCUAGUUGGAGAGGUAACGGCUCCCCAAGGCAACGAUCAUUAGGGGUUCUGAGAGGAAGGUCCCCCACACUGGUACUGAGACACGGACCAGACUCCUACGGGAGGCAGCAGUGAGGAAUAUUGGUCAAUGGACGAGAGUCUGAACCAGCCAAGUCGCGUGCAGGAAGAAUGUCCUUAAUGGAUUGUAAACUGCUUUUGCAGGGGAAUAAGGUGCAUCACGUGUGAUGUUUUGUAUGUACUCUGCGAAUAAGGAUCGGCUAACUCCGUGCCAGCCGCAGC